rnacentral:lncRNA from 10 species
UAUCUUGGUGAGUAUUCCAUGAGUGCUUAAAAAAUGCAUAAUUCUACUAUUCUGUGGAGCAUUCUACAUACCAAUUAGAUUCUGUUGGUUGCUUGUGUUGUUCAGUUCUUCUGCAUCCUUUCUGACUUGUUGUCUAGUCAUUUGUCUUAGUCUGUUUGGGCUGCUAUAACAAGAAUAUUAUAGAAUUAUAAAAUGCAAACAUUUUUUCUCACAGUUGUGGCGGGUGAGAAGGCCAAGAUCAAGAUGUCAGCAGAUUUAGUGUCUGGUGAGGGCCCAUUCCUCAUAGAUGGCUCCUUCUAGCUGUGUCUUCACAUAGUGGAAGAGGCAAACAAGUUCCCUUGGGCCUCUUUUAUAAGGCCACUAAUCCCAGUCAUAAAGUCUCUGCCCUCAUGACCCAAUUACCUCCCAAAGCCGCAGUGAAAUCAAUGCCCUGUCCACCUUUCCACCUUGUGACAUUGGUCAAAGGUCUGGGCAAUGACUGGCUUCAAAGACUCAAUGGGAGCUUCCUGUUGGACAAGAUUUAAUCUGCCACCACCUGCCCUCUCUUCUGCUCCAAAGCAGUAGUACCGGGACCAUUUCAAGUUCACUCUCCCAACAUAGCUGGGGUGAAAUAUCUCUGUGUCUCCUCAGAGUGGAAAGCUACAGUCUCUGGGGGCUGACCACGCAGGCAGAAAACUGUGCACAGGGUGGCAGCUAACUGCCAUCUUUAUCUGUCCAUAACCAAAUGAGCCCAAAGCAUUGCUUCUUUUCUGGUUUGGAUCUGAGGGAGUGAGGUUAGAUGGGGUCCUGUGUCCCAUCACCUGACUCAGGAGGGAGGGGACAGGCCCAAGAGGGCAGAGUCCGUAGAAAAGGGCAAACUCCCUUAAGGUGGGGAGGGAGGAGCCUUGGCUGGGGGAACAGAAGAGGCAGGUGACACUGGCUGUCUCCAGCAUCUGUUGAUGUGUAAGUGAAUCCACCAGUCUCAAUAUUCACUUUUAGUGCCCACUUCAAUAGACACUGGGAGGUCCUUCAGGAGCUGGCCCACUUCAGGGGUGUGUUUCUGCAGCCAGUGUGUGUGUAGGGGUAUUCAUAGCAACAUCGAAAACAUGUCAGGACCCAUUAUCAACACUGCAUUGUGGUUAAUCUUCAAAGAUCUUUGAAUAUAACAUUUCAAAGGUCUCUGGGCAGAAAUCUUAAUAUAUUCCUGACAGCAAAACAUUUGUGAUUUUAUAACUGAAUCCACUGAUUUGUAAACACACAGACACACAUUCAUGAACGAGCACACACGCAGACGCACAGACACAUGUGGACAAAGAUACAUCUGUGCAAGCACAUGCACACAUUUGCAGAGACACAUACACAAAAGUGCACACAUGCACACGCAUACACACAUGUGCAAACACACACAAACAUACUUCAGGGUACACAAAUACCGUCUCACGGAGGCUUACCAAGUUCAUAAUUUUAUUAUACUCUGAAUAGAGAUGAUAUUUAAGGAGCAGAGAAAAUGACUAUACAAAA